UACGUGGGGGGUAAGCGUUGUUCGGAAUUACUGGGCGUAAAGGGCUCGUAGGCGGCCAACUAAGUCAGACGUGAAAUCCCUCAGCUUAACUGGGGAACUGCGUCUGAUACUGGAUGGCUUGGAUUCGGGAGAGGAAUGCGGAAUUCCAGGUGUAGCGGUGAAAUGCGUAGAUAUCUGGAGGAACACCGGUGGCGAAGGCGGCAUUCUGGACCGACAUUGACGCUGAGGAGCGAAAGCCAGGGGAGCAAACGGG
rnacentral:rRNA from 1 species